rnacentral:rRNA from 1 species
UACGGGGGGAGCAAGCGUUGUUCGGAUUUACUGGGCGUAAAGGGCGCGUAGGCGGCCAGCACAAGUCAGUUGUGAAAUCUCCGAGCUUAACUCGGAAAGGUCAACUGAUACUGUGCGGCUAGAGUGCGGAAGGGGCAACUGGAAUUCUUGGUGUAGCGGUGAAAUGCGCAGAUAUCAGGAGGAACACCGGUGGCGAAGGCGGUGGUCUGGGCCGGCACUGACGCUGAGGAGCGAAAGCGUGGGUAGCAAACAGGA